GCCUGGGUGGCUCAGUGGUUAAGCGUCUGACUUCAGCUCAGGUCAUGAUCUCGCGGUCCGUGAGUUCGAGCCCCGUGUCGGGCU
rnacentral:tRNA from 1 species